UACGUAGGUGGCAAGCGCUGUCCGGAAUUAUUGGGCGUAAAGCGCGCGCAGGCGGUCUCUUAAGUCUGAUGUGAAAGCCCCCGGCUCAACCGGGGAGGGCCAUUGGAAACUGGGAGACUUGAGUACAGAAGAGGAGAGUGGAAUUCCACGUGUAGCGGUGAAAUGCGUAGAUAUGUGGAGGAACACCAGUGGCGAAGGCGACUCUCUGGUCUGUAACUGACGCUGAGGCGAGAAAGCGUGGGGAGCAAACAGG
rnacentral:rRNA from 1 species